GAUGAACGCUGGCGGCGUGCCUAAUACAUGCAAGUCGAGCGAACAGACGAGGAGCUUGCUCCUCUGACGUUAGCGGCGGACGGGUGAGUAACACGUGGAUAACCUACCUAUAAGACUGGGAUAAAUUCGGGAAACCGGAGCUAAUACCGGAUAAUAUAUUGAACCGCAUGGUUCAAUAGUGAAAGACGGUUUUGCUGUCACUUAUAGAUGGAUCCGCGCCGCAUUAGCUAGUUGGUAAGGUAACGGCUUACCAAGGCAACGAUGCGUAGCCGACCUGAGAGGGUGAUCGGCCACACUGGAACUGAGACACGGUCCAGACUCCUACGGGAGGCAGCAGUAGGGAAUCUUCCGCAAUGGGCGAAAGCCUGACGGAGCAACGCCGCGUGAGUGAUGAAGGUCUUCGGAUCGUAAAACUCUGUUAUUAGGGAAGAACAAAUGUAUAAGUAACUAUGCACGUCUUGACGGUACCUAAUCAGAAAGCCACGGCUAACUACGUG
rnacentral:rRNA from 1 species